AUUGAACGCUGGCGGCAUGCCUUACACAUGCAAGUCGAACGGCAGCACGGGUGCUUGCACCUGGUGGCGAGUGGCGAACGGGUGAGUAAUACAUCGGAACAUGUCCUGUAGUGGGGGAUAGCCCGGCGAAAGCCGGAUUAAUACCGCAUACGAUCUACGGAUGAAAGCGGGGGACCUUCGGGCCUCGCGCUAUAGGGUUGGCCGAUGGCUGAUUAGCUAGUUGGUGGGGUAAAGGCCUACCAAGGCGACGAUCAGUAGCUGGUCUGAGAGGACGACCAGCCACACUGGGACUGAGACACGGCCCAGACUCCUACGGGAGGCAGCAGUGGGGAAUUUUGGACAAUGGGCGAAAGCCUGAUCCAGCAAUGCCGCGUGUGUGAAGUAGGCCUUCGGGUUGUAAAGCACUUUUGUCCGGAAAGAAAUCCUUGGCCCUAAUACGGUCGGGGGAUGACGGUACCGGAAGAAUAAGCACCGGCUAACUACGUG
rnacentral:rRNA from 1 species